UAUAAUAGAUCAUCUUUGAUCGCGGCAAAGUUGCUUCCUCUUUCAUUCACGUCUUCCCGUUCGCGUGGGUCAAACAAACAUUCAAAUGAUUAGCUAACAAAUAGUGCCUCCCUCAAUGCAGGCUAUGGCUGCAAGUUGCAGCAGGUGAGGAGCAACUGCAGAAAAUUGGCAACAACGUCAGCAUCUACAAUCAGGUGAUCCAACCAAGUGGCCAAGAUUCUGGUUAGGAAGCACACCAUCCCAUGUACCUAGAGGAGACUGACAGUACUGCACUUUAACGGAAGCUGAGCCCAGAAAGACAAUUUCCAUGGAGAAGUCUGAAAAUCCCCUUUGUGCCAAAAAUAUCAUAGAAUUUUUCCAUUAAUUGACUUCGAGGUCGAUUUUCUUUCCAACGCUCACAGCCGAAGUUAUUUACGUUUUAUAUUCAUGCUGUUAAGUGGAUGAGCUUGUGUCACAUGCAAUCACAGAAGGAAAAACUACAGAAAUCACUCACACGCUCUCUUCUGGGACCUGCUCGUUCAAGGUGCUGGAUUCCUUAUACUUGAGUCUAACGACAUAUUUGCAGGUAUUUCAGUAAUGUUCUCAUAACAUUGUUGAAAUAAAAUGUGUAUUUUC